UGACGAUAGCCUAGGAGAUACACCUGUUCCCAUGCCGAACACAGAAGUUAAGCCCUAGCACGCCUGAUGUAGUUGGGGGUUGCCCCCUGUUAGAUAUGGUAGUCGCUUAGC
rnacentral:rRNA from 1 species